rnacentral:rRNA from 1 species
UCCGGUGGCCGGGCAGGCUUAACACAUGCAAGUCGAACGAAGAGGUCUAGCUUGCUAGCACUGAUUAGUGGCGAACGGGUGAGUAACAUUUAGGAAUCUACCUUAUAGAGGGGGAUAGCUCGGGGAAACUCGAAUUAAUACCGCAUACGACCUACGGGUGAAAGGGGGCGCAAGCUCUUGCUAUAAGAUGAGCCUAAACCAGAUUAGCUAGUUGGUGGGGUAAAGGCCUACCAAGGCGACGAUCUGUAGCUGGUCUGAGAGGAUGAUCAGCCACACUGGGACUGAGACACGGCCCAGACUCCUACGGGAGGCAGCAGUGGGGAAUAUUGGACAAUGGGCGAAAGCCUGAUCCAGCCAUGCCGCGUGUGUGAAGAAGGCCUUACGGUUGUAAAGCACUUUAAGUGGGGGGGAAAAGCUUAUGGAUAACACCCAUAGGUUCUGACGUUACCCACAGAAUAAGCACCGGCUAACUCUGUGCCAGCAGCCGCGGUAAUACAGAGGGUGCAAGCGUUAAUCGGAAUUACUGGGCGUAAAGCGAGCGUAGGUGGUUUAUUAAGUCAGAUGUGAAAUCCCUGGGCUUAACCUAGGAACUGCAUCUGAUACUGAUAAACUAGAGUAGGUGAGAGGAAAGUAGAAUUCCAGGUGUAGCGGUGAAAUGCGUAGAGAUCUGGAGGAAUACCGAUGGCGAAGGCAGCUUUCUGGCAUCAUACUGACACUGAGGUUCGAAAGCGUGGGUAGCAAACAGGAUUAGAUACCCUGGUAGUCCACGCCGUAAACGAUGUCUACCAGUCGUUGGGUCUUUUAAAGGCUUAGUGACGCAGUUAACGCGAUAAGUAGACCGCCUGGGGAGUACGGCCGCAAGGUUA